rnacentral:sRNA from 1 species
GCCGGGCUUGGUGGUGCACGCCUGUAAUCCCAGCUACUGGGGAGGCUGAGGCAGGAGACUUGCUUGAACCCGGGAGGUGGAGGUUGCAGUGAGCCAAGAUACACCACUGCACUCUAGCCUGGGUGACAGAGCAAGACUCUAUCUCAA